rnacentral:rRNA from 1 species
GUAGGGAAUAUUGGGCAAUGGAUGCAAGUCUGACCCAGCCAUCCCGCGUGCCGGAAGAAGGCCCUCAGGGUUGUAAACGGCUUUUGACGGUGAAGAAUCGACAGGAUGCGUCCUGUUUUGACGGUAGCCGUUGAAUAAGCACCGGCUAACUCCGUGCCAGCAGCCGCGGUAAUACGGAGGGUGCGAGCGUUGUCCGGAUUUAUUGGGUUUAAAGGGUGCGUAGGCUGGAAGGUCAGUCAGCGGUGAAAAGCUGUCGCUUAACGAUAGUCUUGCCGCAGAUACUUCCUUUCGUGGAUGAGGAUGAGGCCACUGGAACGGAUGGUGUAGCGGUGAAAUGCAUAGAUAUCAUCCAGAACACCGAUUGCGAAGGCAGGUGGCUGUACCUUAAUCGACGCUGAUGCACGAAAGCAUGGGGAGCAAACAGGAUUAGAUACCCUGGUAGUCC